rnacentral:pre_miRNA from 1 species
AUAACUGAAACAAUGGUUGUCCAACAUUAAAUCGUCAUUAAUACAGAGACCACACUAUGGACAGCCAUUCUCUAAGUUGC